rnacentral:rRNA from 1 species
AAACUCAAAUGAAUUGACGGGGACCCGCACAAGCAGCGGAGCGUGUGGUUUAAUUCGUUGCUACACGAAGAACCUUACCUGGGUUUGACAUAUAGGUUGUAGGGAACUGAAAAGGGACCGACCCUUCGGGGAGCCUAUACAGGUGUUGCAUGGCUGUCGUCAGCUCGUGUCGUGAGAUGUUCGGUUAAGUCCGCUAACGAGCGCAACCCUCGUCGUAUGUUAUAUGUGUCAUACGAGACUGCCGGUAAAAAGCCGGAGGAAGGUGAGGAUGAUGUCAAGUCAGCAUGACCUUUAUAUCCAGGGCUACACACACGCUACAAUGGUCUGUACAAUAGGUUGCAAAACCGCGAGGUGGAGCCAAUCCUAAAAGCUGGUCUCAGUUCGGAUUGCAGGCUGCAACUCGCCUGCAUGAAGUCGGAGUUGCUAGUAACCGCGCGUCAGCUAUAGUGCGGUGAAUACGUUCCCGGGCCUU